ACGCUGGCGGCGUGCUUAACACAUGCAAGUCGAACGAUGAAGCCUAGCUUGCUAGGUGGAUUAGUGGCGAACGGGUGAGUAAUACGUGAGUAACCUACCUUUAACUCUGGGAUAAGCCUGGGAAACUGGGUCUAAUACCGGAUACGACCAAUCUCCGCAUGGGGUGUUGGUGGAAAGCGUUAUGUAGUGGUUAUAGAUGGGCUCACGGCCUAUCAGCUUGUUGGUGAGGUAACGGCUCACCAAGGCGACGACGGGUAGCCGGCCUGAGAGGGUGACCGGCCACACUGGGACUGAGACACGGCCCAGACUCCUACGGGAGGCAGCAGUGGGGAAUAUUGCACAAUGGGCGCAAGCCUGAUGCAGCGACGCCGCGUGAGGGAUGACGGCCUUCGGGUUGUAAACCUCUGUUAGCAGGGAGGAAGAGAGAUUGACGGUACCUGCGGAGAAAGCGCCGGCUAACUACGUGCCAGCAGCCGCGGUAAUACGUAGGGCGCGAGCGUUGUCCGGAAUUAUUGGGCGUAAAGAGCUUGUAGGCGGUUUGUCGCGUCUGCUGUGAAAGGCCGGAGCUUAACUCCGUGUAUUGCAGUGGGUACGGGCAGACUAGAGUGCAGUAGGGGAGACUGGAAUUCCUGGUGUAGCGGUGGAAUGCGCAGAUAUCAGGAGGAACACCGAUGGCGAAGGCAGGUCUCUGGGCUGUAACUGACGCUGAGAAGCGAAAGCAUGGGGAGCGAACAGGAUUAGAUACCCUGGUAGUCCAUGCCGUAAACGUUGGGCACUAGGUGUGGGGAACAUUCCGCGUUUUCCGCGCCGUAGCUAACGCAUUAAGUGCCCCGCCUGGGGAGUACGGCCGCAAGGCUAAAACUCAAAGAAAUUGACGGGGGCCCGCACAAGCGGCGGAGCAUGCG
rnacentral:rRNA from 1 species